rnacentral:rRNA from 1 species
UACGGGGGGAGCAAGCGUUGUUCGGAUUUACUGGGCGUAAAGGGCGCGUAGGCGGCCAACUAAGUCCGACGUGAAAUCCCCAGGCUUAACCUGGGAACUGCGUCGGAUACUGGAUGGCUUGAAUUCGGGAGAGGGAUGCAGAAUUCCAGGUGUAGCGGUGAAAUGCGUAGAUAUCUGGAGGAAUACCGGUGGCGAAGGCGGCAUCCUGGACCGACAUUGACGCUGAUGAGCGAAAGCUAGGGGAGCAAACGGG